rnacentral:rRNA from 1 species
AUUGAACGCUGGCGGCAGGCUUAACACAUGCAAGUCGAGCGGGGUGAUGGUGCUUGCACUAUCACUUAGCGGCGGACGGGUGAGUAAUGCUUAGGAAUCUGCCUAUUAGUGGGGGACAACAUCUCGAAAGGGAUGCUAAUACCGCAUACGUCCUACGGGAGAAAGCAGGGGAUCACUUGUGACCUUGCGCUAAUAGAUGAGCCUAAGUCGGGUUAGCUAGUUGGUGGGGUAAAGGCCUACCAAGGCGACGAUCUGUAGCGGGUCUGAGAGGAUGGUCCGCCACACUGGGACUGAGACACGGCCCAGACUCCUGCGGGAGGCAGCAAUGGGGAAAUUUGGACAAUGGGGGGAACCCUGUACCAGCCAUGCCGCGUGUGUGAAGAAGGCCUUAUGGUUGUAAAGCACUUUAAGCGAGGAGGAGGCUCUUUUGGUUAAUACCCAAGAUGAGUGGACGUUACUCGCAGAAUAAGCACCGGCUAACUCUGUGCCAGCAGCCGCCGUAA